rnacentral:hammerhead_ribozyme from 1 species
AUCCAGCCGACGAGUCCCAAAUAAGAGGAAACGCACGUCCUGGAU